UACGUAGGAGGCGAGCGUUGUCCGGAAUCACUGGGCGUAAAGCGCGUGUAGGCGGCCUGCCAAGUCUGCUGUGAAAGCGCCUGGCUUAACCGGGCGAGGUCGGUGGAAACUGGCGGGCUGGAGGACGGUAGAGGGGGGUGGAAUUCCCGGUGUAGUGGUGAAAUGCGUAGAGAUCGGGAGGAACACCAGUGGCGAAGGCGGCCCCCUGGGCCGUUCCUGACGCUGAGACGCGAAGGCGUGGGGAGCGAACGGG
rnacentral:rRNA from 1 species